rnacentral:ncRNA from 1 species
UUCAAUGUUGGCUCUUGCUAUCAUUGUGAAGCAGAAUUCAACAAACAUUGGAUUGUCUACUCAGUAGUUAGGAACAUGUGCUGGGUUUCAAACAUCGCAAGACAGGUU